rnacentral:lncRNA from 1 species
GGACACGUUUGCGCAGCCGGUGAGGUGACCAGAUAAUAACCAGGGCAGCUUUCCUUAGCCGGGAACCCAGGUGCCCUGGCAGGAGGGACUGGCUUAUGCCACCCUGUGCAGGAUCGUCUUCUCAGCUUACAGAGCCUAGUGUGAUUCAACAACCCUCCAUCUCUGCCCCCAACAUGCCCAACUGAUCUGGUGGAGGGAACUGAAGAUGAAGGCCUCUCAGGCACCAUGGAUGGGAUGGGUGUGUGUGAAGGGGGCAGGGUCCCCAGGAGCUGCCCCAGGUCUGGCUGGACAGUUGCACGGGAAGUCCUGUUUGUGAACUCAACGUUUCCACGGCUUUUCCAUUAAACUUUA